rnacentral:rRNA from 1 species
AGUGAACGCUGGCGGUAGGCCUAACACAUGCAAGUCGAACGGCAGCACAGUAAGAGCUUGCUCUUACGGGUGGCGAGUGGCGGACGGGUGAGGAAUACAUCGGAAUCUUCUUUUUCGUGGGGGAUAACGUAGGGAAACUUACGCUAAUACCGCAUACGACCUACGGGUGAAAGCAGGGGAUCUUCGGACCUUGCGCGUUUGUAUGAGCCGAUGUCGGAUUAGCUAGUUGGCGGGGUAAAGGCCCACCAAGGCGACGAUCCGUAGCUGGUCUGAGAGGAUGAUCAGCCACACUGGAACUGAGACACGGUCCAGACUCCUACGGGAGGCAGCAGUGGGGUAUAUUGGACAAUGGGCGCAAGCCUGAUCCAGCCAUACCGCGUGAGUGAAGAAGGCCUUCGGGUUGUAAAGCCCUUUUAUUGGGAAAGAAAAGCAGCAUGUUAAAACCCCGCUGUUCUGACGGUACCCAAAGAAUAAGCACCGGCUAACUUCGUG